UAGGGGUGUGAUGUCAUGUGCAUGCCAGAUGAAAGGAGAACCUGAGGAGAAAAAAAAAAAUCAGCACCUGUGUUGGGUGAGAUGAAACGGAAGGUUUGGCUCACCUAGGCCUGCACAGAAACGGACAGGUUCAGCCAUGUCCAGGUCUGUUCACAGGCAAGAGACACCUACGAUGUUAUUGAUAAUAGCACCUAAGUGAAAGCAGUCUAAGCAGCCACCAAUAGCACCAUAAAUACAUUCAACAGAAUGGUGUAGAACUGUAAACACUGAACGGCUGCACCCAACAGUGUGAAUGAAUUUCCCAGACACAAUGAUGCACAAAAGCAGCUGGAUAAAAACGGUGCUUGGGAUGGUAUGCUGUAAGGUUCAAAGGCCUGCAAUUCCAACCCGUGCGGAGCGGUCAGGAUGGUGGUCACUCGAGCACAGAACACUGGGACUGUUGGAAACAAUCUUGCAGGGUGGAAUAAAAGAUUCUCAGUCCUCGUUUCCCUAAGAGACCCGAAGGAAAGCAAUGUGGGAUGGCUGC